CACCAGUGGCGAAGGCGACUCUCUGGUCUGUAACUGACGCUGAGGAGCGAAAGCGUGGGGAGCGAACAGGAUUAGAUACCCUGGUAGUCCACGCCGUAAACGAUGAGUGCUAAGUGUUAGGGGGUUUCCGCCCCUUAGUGCUGCAGCUAACGCAUUAAGCACUCCGCCUGGGGAGUACGGUCGCAAGACUGAAACUCAAAGGAAUUGACGGGGGCCCGCACAAGCGGUGGAGCAUGUGGUUUAAUUCGAAGCAACGCGAAGAACCUUACCAGGUCUUGACAUCCUCUGACAAUCCUAGAGAUAGGACGUCCCCUUCGGGGGGCAGAGUGACAGGUGGUGCAUGGUUGUCGUCAGCUCGUGUCGUGAGAUGUUGGGUUAAGUCCCGCAACGAGCGCAACCCUUGAUCUUAGUUGCCAGCAUUCAGUUGGGCACUCUAAGGUGACUGCCGGUGACAAACCGGAGGAAGGUGGGGAUGACGUCAAAUCAUCAUGCCCCUUAUGACCUGGGCUACACACGUGCUACAAUGGGCAGAACAAAGGGCAGCGAAACCGCGAGGUUAAGCCAAUCCCACAAAUCUGUUCUCAGUUCGGAUCGCAGUCUGCAACUCGACUGCGUGAAGCUGGA
rnacentral:rRNA from 1 species